rfam:Acidovorax sp. KKS102, complete genome.
UCAAAGCCGUCUGGAGAGCCGCCUCGCGCAACGCGAAGCGCACCGAAGGAGCAAGCCGCAGCCCGGGUGGGUGGCGGUGAAUCUCUCAGGUACCAAGGACAGGGGGAGCGGC